AUACGUAGGGGGCGAGCGUUGUCCGGAAUGACUGGGCGUAAAGGGCGUGUAGGCGGCUUUAUAAGUCUGGAGUGAAAGUCCUGCUUUCAAGGUGGGAAUUGCUUUGGAGACUGUAGAGCUUGAGUGCGGAAGAGGUAAGUGGAAUUCCCAGUGUAGCGGUGAAAUGCGUAGAGAUUGGGAGGAACACCAGUGGCGAAGGCGACUUACUGGACUGUAACUGACGCUGAGGCGCGAAAGUGUGGGGAGCAAACAGGAUUAGAUACCCUGGUAGUCCACACUGUAAACGAUGAAUGCUAGGUGUUGCGGGUAUCGACCCCUGCAGUGCCGGAGUAAACACAAUAAGCAUUCCGCCUGGGGAGUACGGCCGCAAGGUUGAAACUCAAAGGAAUUGACGGGG
rnacentral:rRNA from 1 species